rnacentral:rRNA from 1 species
UACGUAGGGGGCGAGCGUUGUCCGGAUUUAUUGGGCGUAAAGAGCUCGUAGGCGGUUGGGUAAGUCGGGUGUGAAAACUCAGGGCUCAACUCUGAGACGCCACUCGAUACUGCUCUGACUCGAGUCCGGUAGGGGAGCGUGGAAUUCCCGGUGUAGCGGUGAAAUGCGCAGAUAUCGGGAGGAACACCAGUGGCGAAGGCGGCGCUCUGGGACGGUACUGACGCUGAGACGCGAAAGCGUGGGGAGCGAACAGG